rnacentral:rRNA from 1 species
AACGAACGCUGGCGGCAUGCCUAACACAUGCAAGUCGAACGAGACCUUCGGGUCUAGUGGCGCACGGGUGCGUAACGCGUGGGAGCCUGCCCUUAGGUUCGGAAUAACUCCCCGAAAGGGGUGCUAAUACCGGAUAAUGUCUUCGGACCAAAGAUUUAUCGCCUUUGGAUGGGCCCGCGUUGGAUUAGCUAGUUGGUAGGGUAAAAGCCUACCAAGGCGACGAUCCAUAGCUGGUCUGAGAGGAUGAUCAGCCACACUGGGACUGAGACACGGCCCAGACUCCUACGGGAGGCAGCAGUGGGGAAUAUCGGACAAUGGGCGAAAGCCUGAUCCAGCAAUGCCGCGUGAGUGAUGAAGGCCUUAGGGUUGUAAAGCUCUUUUACCCGGGAUGAUAAUGACAGUACCGGGAGAAUAAGCUCCGGCUAACUCCGUG